rnacentral:lncRNA from 1 species
UCUAAAGUCACUACUGUAUUACACUGUGAAAGAAAGGUUUUUGACAACCAACAUUACUUUUCGUGAUGCUAUCUCUUCAACGCUUGAAUAACCAAACCUUUAGGAGAAUAUGCUCUCAGGGGACUGUCUGAAAAAACCAUGAUGUGGUGUUUGGCAUGUACUAAGAGACUUUUUUUUUUUUUUUUAAAUAAAAAGAAGAUGAAUGUUUUUACAUCCUUACCUUUUCACUGAAACACUCAAGCAAGUCUUGGACAUACCCUCGCAUUUCUUGCAAAAACUUAUACUGUUCACCAAUACCCCCAGAAGACCCUUCUAAUCUUUCAAUUGCCUUGGUAGAGUCCUCUCGGCUUUGCUGAUGUUUCUCAAACUGCUGCCGAUUAGCUUUGUGCAAUUCUUUCAUAGAGUCCAACCUGUCUUUAAGCUGUUUCUUUACCAAAUCAAUAGUAAUAGGAGUCAUCUCAUUACUGGGUGUUUUGAAAGGAACUGUAUUAUCUGUUUUUUGAGACUUGGCUUCCGAUGAUCCAUACGCAGCAUAAGUGUAUGGAAUGCCGUACGACGAACCAUAAGACAAUGUCUGGUAAGUGUUCUGGUAGUACAGAUUAUUCACUUCAGCAGGCUGACUUGGUUGAACCUGAAGUAUGUUGAUUCCUUUCCGUAUCUGUUCUUGCUCCCAUCUACUGAGUUCCUCAUCUUGUUCCCCUGCCACCAGCGCCUCAUCAUCACUCCCCUCAAUACCUAUUUCCUCAGCAAUCUUUUGCCUUUGGGAUUUUUCCUUCACUGUAAAAACUAUCCUCCUCUUCUCGUCAUCAUCUUCAUCAUCACUGGCAUCAUUUUCAUCUUCUCGAACAAGGCGGCUUUUACCUGGUUCACUGUCAACAGGAGUAAAGUCUCCAAGUUCACGAGCCAUUUGACGCUUUUUC